rnacentral:rRNA from 1 species
GGAGCGUGUGGUUUAAUUCGACGCAACGCGAAGAACCUUACCUGGGCUUGACAUGCACGUGGUACGACCCCGAAAGGGGAAGGACCCGCAAGGGAGCGUGCGCAGAUGCUGCAUGGCUGUCGUCAGCUCGUGCCGUGAGGUGUUGGGUUAAGUCCCGCAACGAGCGCAACCCUCGCUGCCAGUUACCAUGUCUGGCGGGACCGCCGGGUCCAACCCGGAGGAAGGUGGGGAUGACGUCAAGUCAGCACGGCUCUUACGUCCAGGGCUACACACACGCUACAAUGGCCGGUACAACGCGCAGCAAUGGGGCGACCCGGAGCGAAUCGCAUCAAAGCCGGUCUCAGUUGGGAUUGCAGNNGNCUGCAACUCGCCUGCAUGAACGCGGAGUUGCUAGUAACCGCGA